AGUAACGAGAGGGCAGUCUGAGCUGGGGGCUGCUGGAGAAGCUGGCAAAAGACAGGCAGCAGUGGCGACCUCUGGUUACAGCCUUAUGUGCUUCUUAGCACGAAGGGGAUUAAGCAACUCAUUCAUUUUAGAACCAGAAAGUUGGAACUACUUGCAAUUGCUGUCUUGAGACGCUUGGAGCAGAUAAAUGUUCUUUAUAAAGACUUUGGCAUCAACGGUUCUCUUUUGAACAUCAACAAUUGUCGGCCAUAUUUAGCUUUCAAAUUACCACUCGAAUACCACGGAUCUUUGAAGCGGAAUUGCGCUAAUGGCAAUACAAAACCCAAUACAAGCAUCCUCUAAUAACCCUGUGUGGACGGGACGUAGCUCAGUGUUC